rnacentral:rRNA from 1 species
ACGGUUCGUUCGACACUCCCUGACCAACCCAAGGAGUAGUUGGGGUCCCGUUUCCCCGUUCGGGGGGACAGGGUGGCAGGUGGUGCAUGGUUGUCGUCAGCUCGUGUCGUGAGAUGUUGGGUUAAGUCCCGCAACGAGCGCAACCCUCGCCUCUAGUUGCCAGCAUUCGGUUGGGCACUCUAUCGAGACCGACGGCGACAAGCCGUAGGAAGGUGGGGAUGAUGUCAAGUCAGCAUGGCCUUUAUAUCCAGGGCUACACACGUCCUACAAUGACCGGUACAAAGGGAAGCAAGACCGCGAGGUGGAGCAAAUCCCAAAAAGCCGGCCUCAGUGCGGAUUGCAGUCUGCAACUCGACUGCAUGAAGUUGGAAUCGCUAGUAAUCGCAGAUCAGCAUGCCGCGGUGAAUACGUUCCCGGGCCUU